AGCGAACGCUGGCGGCAGGCCUAACACAUGCAAGUCGAACGAAGUCUUCGGACUUAGUGGCGGACGGGUGAGUAACACGUGGGAACGUACCUUUUGGUUCGGAACAACUCAGGGAAACUUGAGCUGAUACCGGAUGAGCCCUUAGGGGGAAAGAUCUAUCGCCGAAAGAGGGGCCCGCGUUAGAUUAGCUAGUUGGUGAGGUAAAGGCUCACCAAGGCUACGAUCUAUAGCUGGUCUGAGAGGAUGAUCAGCCACACUGGGACUGAGACACGGCCCAGACUCCUGCGGGAGGCAGCAGUGGGGAAUUGUGCGCAAUGGGCGUAAGCCUCACGCAGCCAAGCCGCGUGAAUGAUGAAGGUCUUAGGAUUGCAAAAUUCUUUUACCAGGGACGAUAAUGACGGUACCUGGAGAAAAAGCCCCGGCUAACUUCGUGCCAGCCGCCGCCGUAACAC
rnacentral:rRNA from 1 species